rnacentral:lncRNA from 1 species
AGUGGGGGUCAGAGGUGUACGGAUAGGAAAUCCGCGGGAAAGGAGGCCGCCCCACAGUUUCGGGUCUAACGAAAAACAACUGUGCUGAGGAAAAAAGAUCAACAAGGAAAAUAUAAAAACAAACACCAGCCAACUUUUCAAAAGAGAGAAGAAAAGAUUAAAAUCGUAUCAGUGAGCAGGAGAACUUCUCAAAGACUCGAGUCACAAACCUACCAGGCUGUUUGAAUUCUUUUUCAACAACAGUGAACCAUUUGGUCUGAAAGGAGCCGAGAGAUGCAUGAUCCACUGAGUAACACUCAAACACUAAAGAAUCCUUCCCGGCUUCCACAGAUUUGAGCAACACAGGGCGGAGGACCCUGAGAUAAUCAACCCGAUAAAAUGGCAAUGGAGCAAAAUAAAACAAAACAGGUUAAAGCCAGAAAGCCAGAGCUAUGCGCGGAGCUCACAGAAAGGCCCAGAUCUGAAUCGCAGUUGGCUGAUGCCGAGGUGAGCUAGGCAAGGAUCAAGCCCGGAUUGCUCAAACCUCAACUUGGGCGACCCUUAGGCUCAGUGAGUUCUCAGGCCGGUUGGGCAUGCCCUAGUAAAAGGGUUUGGAGCCAAAGAGGUGGCUAAAGGACUCAAGCCAGCUUUUUGUUUUUUGUUUUUUGUUUUUUUUUUCAUUUUUUUCUCUUAGGCCUUUCCACCUGCCCAGGAGAUGGAUGCAGGGGUUUCUGUCCUGCGUUGGGAGCCUCCACUGUCUCCUACCCACUCCUGCUUGGCUCCCCAAAGUCUAUCGACUUCUGACUCUCCAUGUGGGGGACACUAUUGCCCCAGUACUUUAGCCCCCUUCUCUGUGUGGUGUGGCCUUCUUCAGCAAUGUCUUACAAAGAAGAAAGAACAGCUUGGAGUCAUGUUUACAUCUAGUUCUACGGAUCCAUUCACAUCUGGAGAGUUUAUUUAUAACUCCCUCUAUAACUCUCUCUGUUUGGAGGCACCGGUGGCUGUAUUGACAGACGGAUGUCUACAAAAUAUUGCUCUAUCUCUAACC